CCCAGACAGCCAGGAUGUUGGCUUAGAAGCAGCCAUCAUUUAAAGAAAGCGUAAUAGCUCACUGGUCGAGUCGGCCUGCGCGGAAGAUGUAACGGGGCUAAACCAUGCACCGAAGCUGCGGCAGCGAACGUAUCACUUAAAGCGAUUCAGCGGGUUACGAUUGACGGAGCGAAGCGACGUCAAAGCGUAUACAAAGUCGAGUCGGUUUAAGGAUACGUUCGUUGGGUAGGGGAGCGUUCUGUAAGCCUGUGAAGGUGGCCUGUGAGGGUUGCUGGAGGUAUCAGAAGUGCGAAUGCUGACAUAAGUAACGAUAAAGCGGGUGAAAAGCCCGCUCGCCGGAAGACCAAGGGUUCCUGUCCAACGUUAAUCGGGGCAGGGUGAGUCGACCCCUAAGGCGAGGCCGAAAGGCGUAGUCGAUGGGAAACAGGUUAAUAUUCCCGUACUUGGUGUUACUGCGAAGGGGGGACGGAGAAGGCUAUGUUGGCCGGGCGACGGUUGUCCCGGUUUAAGCGUGUAGGUGUGUGUUCCAGGUAAAUCCGGUUCACUUUAACACUGAGGCGUGAUGACGAGGCACUACGGUGCUGAAGCAACAAAUGCCCUGCUUCCAGGAAAAGCCUCUAAGCAUCAGGUAACAUCAAAUCGUACCCCAAACCGACACAGGUGGUCAGGUAGAGAAUAC
rnacentral:rRNA from 1 species